UCUGUGAUGCUAGAUGUCUGGACGCACGCGCGCUACACUGAUGAAGUCAUCGAGUACAUUUCCUUUACCGGAAAGUAUGGGUAUCUUUUGAACUCAUCGUGAUGGGGAUAGAGCAUUGCAUAUUGCUCUUCACGAGGAACCCCUAGUAAGCGGGAGUCAUCAGCUCACGUUGAUUACGUCCCUGCCUUGUACACACCGCCCGUCGCUACUACCGAUUGAAUGGCUUAGUGAGACCCUCGGAUCGACUUACGGAAACCUUUACGGGUAUCUAUUUGUUGAAAAGUUGGUCAAACUUGGUCAUUUAGAGGAAGUAAAAGUCGUAACAAGGUUUCCGUAGGUGAACCUGCGGAAGGAUCGUUAAAAAAAUUGAGGUAUUCAUUA
rnacentral:rRNA from 1 species